AGUGAACGCUGGCGGUAGGCCUAACACAUGCAAGUCGAACGGCAGCACAGUAAGAGCUUGCUCUUACGGGUGGCGAGUGGCGGACGGGUGAGGAAUACAUCGGAAUCUACUUUUUCGUGGGGGAUAACGUAGGGAAACUUACGCUAAUACCGCAUACGACCUACGGGUGAAAGCAGGGGAUCUUCGGACCUUGCGCGAUUGAAUGAGCCGAUGUCGGAUUAGCUAGUUGGCGGGGUAAAGGCCCACCAAGGCGACGAUCCGUAGCUGGUCUGAGAGGAUGAUCAGCCACACUGGACCUGAGACACGGUCCAGACUCCUAGGGAAGGCAGCAGUGGGGAAUAUUGGAAAUGGGCGCAAGCCUGAUCCAGCCAUACCGCGUGGGUGAAGAAGGCCUUCGGGUUGUAAAGCCCUUUUGUUGGGAAAGAAAAGCAGCAGGUUAAUACCCCGCUGUUCUGACGGUACCCAAAGAAUAAGCACCGGCUAACUUCGUG
rnacentral:rRNA from 1 species